CACGUAGUUAGCCGGUGCUUCUUAUCUAGGUACCGUCACAAAAAAGCUUCGUCCCUAGCGAAAGGAGUUUACAACCCGAAGGCCUUCAUCCCCCACGCGGCGUCGCUGCAUCAGGCUUGCGCCCAUUGUGCAAUAUUCCCCACUGCUGCCUCCCGUAGGAGUCUGGGCCGUAUCUCAGUCCCAAUGUGGCCGUACACCCUCUCAGGCCGGCUACCCGUCGCCGCCUUGGUAGGCCAUUACCCCACCAACAAGCUGAUAGGCCGCGAGCUCAUCCUACACCGAAAAAACUUUCCAACCACCACACUAAAGAUGGCUCCUAUCCGGUAUUAGACCCAGUUUCCCAAGCUUAUCCCGAAGUGCAGGGCAGAUCACCCACGUGUUACUCACCCGUUCGCCACUCGAGUACCCUGCAAGCAGGGCCUUUCCGUUCGACUUGCAUGUGUUAAGCACGCCGCCAGCGUUCGUCCUGAGCCAGGAUCAAACUCU
rnacentral:rRNA from 1 species